UGACUGAGCUUAUGUCAGCUCAGGCGAGGACUAUCACUGAUGGAUUGACGAGCAGGUUGGAUAUCAUGACUGCUGAGAUUAGCGAUCUCAGAGAGGAGGUCGGAGCAUUACGGAGAGAGAGAGAGGCUCAUGGUCCAUCUGUGCCCCGAGCAGCUGAGUCAGAGGUUUCGGCACAGAGUCAUCCAGCUCAGCGAGGUCCACGCCAGACUUAGUCCCAUCAGGCUCGACCUCCCCUCGCCACUUAUGCUAGGAGGAUGAGGACUAGAUCACAGCCAUUAGAUACCCCCUAGGCUAAUGUUAGCACUUUUGGUAUUAGUGCCUAGGAUUUAUCUAGUUCUCAUAUGUAUUUUGUGUUGAUCAUGUACUUUGCACUUUGAUUGAAGAACAUUGUAUUUUUGGUGUUAAUGUACUACAAUGGUUCAUGUUUGAUCAGUAAAAUCUGUAUGAUUACUAUUUACUGCGUCUACUUAUCUAUUGCCAUGCACCUAUUUGAUGAUAACAAAAAGGGGGAGAAGCAAGGAAAGAAAAUUAAGUUGUAAUAAGUUGACAAACAAGGACAAUAUACACUUAAGGGGG
rnacentral:lncRNA from 1 species